CCGUAGGUACAUAUGUAUGUAUGUGUGUGUCUUCAUAUUCAACAUAUACAUACAUGUUGUAUGUAUGUAUAUAAUUAUGUGCAUCGGAGAGCUCUUCAGGCUAUUCGUCUAAUUGCGCAUAGUAGAGAAUUUAAUUAUUUCGUAGUCACGGCAAUUACAUUAUUUGAAAUAGUACGUAUAAGACAGCCAUGGAGCGAGCUAGUUUGUUCUGUUAUUCUUCUGUUUUAUUAUAAUUUUUUUUUAAUCUAGUACAGUCAGCGAGCUAUGCUGAUAAAGCAAAAACUGAUUACAUUGCAACGCAUUAAACACACUAAUGCAAUGCCCACAUAUGGAAUGAAAGACAGAGAAAGAGAGGGAGAGACAAACACAUGCACACUCACAUUCACACUGUGAUACGCAUACAUGGCAUAGCCAAGUGUGCAGCAGCAACCUCUGCCCAUUUGCUGUCUGCCCAAAACAGUUACAACAAUAACAACAGAUGUCUUAUCAAAAUAAAUAAAUAUAAAAUUAUUGCAGUUGCUCGACUAAACACUGCCCUAUACCACAAAGCAUACAUACCACACAUACAUAUGAAAGCAGGUAGGACAUUUAUUUAAGCGGACAGCCUGCUUCGCAUUUACUCGGGUCAUUUACUCUCUCGCGCUCUCUGCGAAGCUGUGCCACUUGACAGCCUUAAGCCGCAGAGUGAUCGAGCGAGAGGUCCGAUGCAGUCGGCAGUUCUGAGAAUACACCAUUUUCUUUGCUUACUCUGACAGCCCUCAAAUACAACUACUUUCAUCGCUUGCUCAGCCACUUGAGGUAUGCCCGUUGCUGUCCGUGCUCUUUACAGGGUAUACCAAAGCAGAGUUAACUGUUAGCAACAAUAACAAACAAUGUAAUGCAUAUGGGGCCCGGGCCAGUCCAACUGGGCACGUGAGUAUUUUAUUAUUUUUUCGGUUAUCGGUGCCCGCAUUUGUUUAUAGACUCGGAACGGAGAACUCUUUUUAGGGUUUCGUCGCUUGUAGCUGGCUGCUGGGCGCCUGUUGCCCACUCAAAUAAUCGAUCGCAAAUUAUUUAUUGAUUUUUGAUUGAUGAGCCUCAGGUGAUUUACGCAAAUGGGUGUGAGGCCCCCCAUUGUGGCGCUGCGUGGAUAUUUCGGCACCAAAUAAAGCUCAUCUGACUUCUGUCCGUUUGGGGCGGAUUAGUUAGCUUUGCUUAUGCGGCUAACAGCAAUGCCAAGAGGCAGAGAUCGAGCUAGGCGGUGCCAUGCCGAGCCGUGCCGUGCCGAGUGGAGUCAAACAACCGCCGCAGUUCAGGUUGAAUUUGAAUAAUAUUAUCAGGUUGCAAGAGCUCCACCAGCUGUGACAGCUGAAUUUGAUAAGCCGCGCGCGCUAUCGCUACAUAUGUAAAUUAUAUGACGCAUUCGUAAUAAAUAUUUUUUGUCAGUUCUAUUUAGA